AAAAAAGUCCCGCCGUGUCUCAAAAACAAUAAAUGGUUAUUGCUUAAAAUUUUCUAAAAAACUAUUUAUGAUUAUUGCAUAAAACUUCCACACAAGACGUCAGGCGUAUCAUGCGCUCAUGGCGCAGCUGUUUAUUAAAAUUUAAAGUUCAACAAUGUACAUAUUUGUCUAUGCAGACUGUGACAAAUUCAUGACAAAUCAAAC
rnacentral:lncRNA from 1 species